ensembl:lncRNA
UUUUUUAAUUGAAGUGCAUUUUUUUCACCCAAAAAUCGAUUAAUUAAACAUGUUUUGCUCUGAGCAUGAAAAAAACGUGAGAUUAAUUUAAUCGAAAUUAAAUAUAAAUAUAUAAUUAUAUAGAAAAGAAUAAAUUAUAAUUGCAUAUAAAUCUCCCCCAACCCUGUAUGCAUACUCCUUCAGCAGCAUUAUAUCAAGCUGAACUGAUGACACUGAUCUGCAGGAUCAGAGCUGAAGCUCAUCAGGAAGGAUCUGUCCACAGAGGCCUGUAAGCUGACAGACAUGCACACCACAACCCUGGAGCCGGCAGACAACGUCCGGAUAUCUCAUGGAGAUGCUGAGGGCCAGUUGCACCAUUCACAAUCUUGAUCUCUCUGACAAUCAUCUUCAGUCUGCUGGAGCCGAGUGCGUUGCUGAGAUGCUCCUGGAAAACAUUUCCAUUAAAUCAUUAAAACUGUCAGGUAUUUCAUGCAUAUGUGCACACAGCACGAUCAGCUGGUAA